rnacentral:misc_RNA from 1 species
GAAAUGCGAUAAGUAAUGUGAAUUGCAGAAUUCAGUGAAUCAUCGAAUCUUUGAACGCACCUUGCGCUCCUUGGUAUUCCUUGGAGCAUGCCUGUUUGAGUAUCAUUUCACCACUCAAGCCUCGCUUGGUAUUGGGCGACGCGGUCCGCCGCGCGCCUCAAAUCGACCGGCUGGGUCUUUCGUCCCCUCAGCGUUGUGGAAACUAUUCGCUAAAGGGUGCCGCGGGAGGCCACGCCGUAAAACAACCCCAUUUCUAAGGUUGACCUCGGAUCAGGUAGGGAUACCCGCUGAACUUAAGC